AUUGAACGCUGGCGGCAUGCUUUACACAUGCAAGUCGAACGGUAACAGGGAGCUUGCUCCGCUGACGAGUGGCGAACGGGUGAGUAAUGCGUCGGAACGUGCCGAGUAGUGGGGGAUAACGCAUCGAAAGGUGUGCUAAUACCGCAUACGAACUGAGGUUGAAAGUGGGGGACCUUCGGGCCUCACGCUAUUCGAGCGGCCGACGUCUGAUUAGCUAGUUGGUGAGGUAAAGGCUCACCAAGGCGACGAUCAGUAGCGGGUCUGAGAGGAUGAUCCGCCUCACUGGGACUGAGACACGGCCCAGACUCCUACGGGAGGCAGCAGUGGGGAAUAUUGGACAAUGGGCGCAAGCCUGAUUCAGCCAUACCGCGUGGGUGAAGAAGGCCUUCGGGUUGUAAAGCCCUUUUGUUGGGAAAGAAAAGCAGCAGGUUAAUACCCCGCUGUUCUGACGGUACCCAAAGAAUAAGCACCGGCUAACUUCGUGCCAGCCGCCGCCGUAAUAC
rnacentral:rRNA from 1 species